rnacentral:lncRNA from 1 species
CCUAAUUGGAUUAACAUCAUCAUUAAGAGAUCAUAUAUAAGCUAAAUCAUAACUGUUUUUCAGAGGAGAAGCAUUUGAGAUCUGAAAAAUUCACACUCCCUCCAUUUUUUCUCUCUCUUCGAAUCCCUCAAUUCUUCACAUAAACCUUCAUUUUCUUUGCAUAAUCUGGUUCAUCAUGUAUCAUUGAGGAGGAAUCAACCUUUGGUUUGAAGAAUUCGGUUCAGAUUUGAGCUACACAAGCAUAUGAACAUGG